rnacentral:sRNA from 1 species
AAAUGAAAUGGAAGAUGGAGGAGGAGGAGGAAGCUAGGCGGGUGUCCCCUUUCUCCCUUACCACUCUAUGUGUGUCCCUCUCAAAGCCGUGCCCUCGGUGGAAGAGAACAACCUUCCCCAACAGAAGAGGAUGGUUCUUCAGUCAAUGGCAUAAGAGUAGCUUUACUCUCCUGCACUUCUAUCUAAAGAAGUUGGCGGGGAGGAGAAAUAAUAAAGAGUUUACGGAGUAAAGGCAAGCUAGAGAAAAGCGUAAUGGGCUUGCAUCAUCU